UGGGCCUGAGGGUGUUUGAUGCCCCAGU
rnacentral:piRNA from 1 species